GCCUGUGAAGGUGGCCUGUGAGGGUUGCUGGAGGUAUCAGAAGUGCGAAUGCUGACAUAAGUAACGAUAAAGCGGGUGAAAAGCCCGCUCGCCGGAAGACCAAGGGUUCCUGUCCAACGUUAAUCGGGGCAGGGUGAGUCGACCCCUAAGGCGAGGCCGAAAGGCGUAGUCGAUGGGAAACAGGUUAAUAUUCCUGUACUUGGUGUUACUGCGAAGGGGGGACGGAGAAGGCUAUGUUGGCCGGGCGACGGUUGUCCCGGUUUAAGCGUGUAGGUGUGUGUUCCAGGUAAAUCCGGUUCACUUUAACACUGAGGCGUGAUGACGAGGCACUACGGUGCUGAAGCAACAAAUGCCCUGCUUCCAGGAAAAGCCUCUAAGCAUCAGGUAACAUCAAAUCGUACCCCAAACCGACACAGGUGGUCAGGUAGAGAAUACCAAGGCGCUUGAGAGAACUCGGGUGAAGGAACUAGGCAAAAUGGUGCCGUAACUUCGGGAGAAGGCACGCUGACACGUAGGUGAAGUGAUUUACUCAUGGAGCUGAAGUCAGUCGAAGAUACCAGCUGGCUGCAACUGUUUAUUAAAAACACAGCACUGUGCAAACACGAAAGUGGACGUAUACGGUGUGACGCCUGCCCGGUGCCGGAAGGUUAAUUGAUGGGGUCAGCGCAAGCGAAGCUCCUGAUCGAAGCCCCGGUAAACGGCGGCCGUAACUAUAACGGUCCUAAGGUAGCGAAAUUCCUUGUCGGGUAAGUUCCGACCUGCACGAAUGGCGUAAUGAUGGCCAGGCUGUCUCCACCCGAGACUCAGUGAAAUUGAACUCGCUGUGAAGAUGCAGUGUACCCGCGGCAAGACGGAAAGACCCCGUGAACCUUUACUAUAGCUUGACACUGAACAUUGAGCCUUGAUGUGUAGGAUAGGUGGGAGGCUUUGAAGCGUGGACGCCAGUCUGCGUGGAGCCGACCUUGAAAUACCACCCUUUAAUGUUUGAUGUUCUAACGUGGACCCGUAAUCCGGGUUGCGGACAGUGUCUGGUGGGUAGUUUGACUGGGGCGGUCUCCUCCUAAAGAGUAACGGAGGAGCACGAAGGUUGGCUAAUCCUGGUCGGACAUCAGGAGGUUAGUGCAAUGGCAUAAGCCAGCUUGACUGCGAGCGUGACGGCGCGAGCAGGUGCGAAAGCAGGUCAUAGUGAUCCGGUGGUUCUGAAUGGAAGGGCCAUCGCUCAACGGAUAAAAGGUACUCCGGGGAUAACAGGCUGAUACCGCCCAAGAGUUCAUAUCGACGGCGGUGUUUGGCACCUCGAUGUCGGCUCAUCACAUCCUGGGGCUGAAGUAGGUCCCAAGGGUAUGGCUGUUCGCCAUUUAAAGUGGUACGCGAGCUGGGUUUAGAACGUCGUGAGACAGUUCGGUCCCUAUCUGCCGUGGGCGCUGGAGAACUGAGGGGGGCUGCUCCUAGUACGAGAGGACCGGAGUGGACGCAUCACUGGUGUUCGGGUUGUCAUGCCAAUGGCACUGCCCGGUAGCUAAAUGCGGAAGAGAUAAGUGCUGAAAGCAUCUAAGCACGAAACUUGCCCCGAGAUGAGUUCUCCCUGAGACUUUAAGUCUCCUGAAGGAACGUUGAAGACGACGACGUUGAUAGGCCGGGUGUGUAAGCGCAGCGAUGCGUUGAGCUAACCGGUACUAAUGAACCGUGAGGCUUAACCUUAC
rnacentral:rRNA from 1 species